AUACAUAUAUCGCGUAUAGCCCACGAGCCAUAACAUUUAUAGCGUGUGCUGGCAACAGCCAUUACGAUUGUAACCGACUUUCGCGCACACGUCGACUUCGAUCGGUUCCCAGCCCGAAGUCGCUAUGGUAAUUGUCUACAAAUAGAAGCGAGCGACGACCCAAGAUCCCCAAGCGAACCCAAAACCCCCAACCGAACUGCAGCUGAUCCCCAAACGAUCCCCAACCGACAAUCAAGAAUAAUCAUGUAAACGAAAAGCGUAAUGCUCGUCCCACGAAACCCACGACUACCACGAUCCAAUCAAUGAUCCAUAAAGCGCUAACAAAAAAGCAAGAAACAGAAACACUGGCCCGUCUCGGGUUGGCCCGAUGACGAUUCCACAAUUAUCAGCGUGCCAUAAGCUACUGCAAAAGGGUGAAGGCACAUGGCAAGACUUGAGACCGAACCGAACCGAACCCAACCGCACCGAAUUGAAGCCCAAAAGACCGGACCCCGACCAUAGUCGACCAUACAAAUGAAUUGAAAUGCAAACAUCUUGUUAUGGAUGGAAGGCAUGUGCUCGCCUCGCAUCGU
ensembl:ncRNA lncRNA:CR45039 long non-coding RNA:CR45039